rnacentral:misc_RNA from 1 species
GCCGACGACGGUCUUGACGGUGCCUUCGACUGACUCGACGCCGGACUUCAGCGGCCCGGCGUUGUCCUUAGCGUAGCCGUAGAGGGAGGAGACGCACACCACCGCCUGGAUCGCUGCGGCGUGGACGAAUUCUAGGUACUUGAGAUUCUUGACCUCGACCUCGUUCUCCUGGUUGAUCUGAUCGGGUUGAACGGCGGCCAUUGAGAUUUGUUGAAGGAGACUGAGAAUUUGGGGGGUUUUGGAGGAGAUUAAUUGAUGAAUGUGAGAUUGAAGAUGCUGAUAAGUCCGUUUUAUAAAGG